CCGCCAAGGUCCCACCUUUCCAACAUCAGCAAAAGUCAUAAGACAUUCAUCUGUUAGAGAAUCAAAUAAAGUACCUGGAAGAGACCAAGUUACGAAUUUGGGCAAGAAACCUGAAGUAUCUUUUCAAGCACAACAGCAUCCUCAUGAAGCCAGGUAGGAAUAGAAGAAUUUAACGAGUUUGCACUGAAUGCUUCAAGGACUAAACAUUCUGCCCUAAAAAAUUAUACUUCACUGUGCAAUAACAGCAAGAUGAUACCACUUUCAGAUGCCAUGCAGUGAUAUAUUAUGUUUUACCCUGAUGUAUGACAAGAACCAUCUUUGGGAAUUGCUUUCAAGCUAUUGUAAUUGCACAGCCAAUUUUUAUCUCUAAUAGCAUGCUGCUGUAUUACAUUUCUGCUACUAUUUCUGUGAUAGGGUGUUAAAUAUAUUAUAUAAAGAAGCUCUGCUAUCUCCAGCCUCCGCAUUUCCUUCCCCCUCAUUUUCUAUUUUUAUUUACAAAGGAUACAUGCCUGGCUUUCCUAUACAAAUCUUUCCUUUCUAAUUGCCUGUAAUCUAUAUUUUUCUGAAAUA